rnacentral:rRNA from 1 species
UACGGGGGGGGCAAGCGUUGUUCGGAAUUACUGGGCGUAAAGGGCUCGUAGGCGGCCAACUAAGUCAGACGUGAAACCCCUCGGCUUAACCGGGGAACUGCGUCUGAUACUGGAUGGCUUGAGUUCGGGAGAGGGAUGCGGAAUUCCAGGUGUAGCGGUGAAAUGCGUAGAUAUCUGGAGGAACACCGGUGGCGAAGGCGGCAUCCUGGACCGACACUGACGCUGAGGAGCGAAAGCCAGGGGAGCAAACGGG